rnacentral:rRNA from 1 species
UACAGAGGUCCCGAGCGUUGUUCGGAUUCAUUGGGCGUAAAGGGUGCGUAGGUGGCGUCGUAAGUCAGGUGUGAAAUCUCGGGGCUCAACCCCGAAACUGCACUUGAUACUGCGAUGCUUGAGUACUGGAGAGGAGAUUGGAAUUUACGGUGUAGCAGUGAAAUGCGUAGAUAUCGUAAGGAAGACCAGUGGCGAAGGCGAAUCUCUGGACAGUUACUGACACUGAGGCACGAAGGCCAGGGGAGCAAACGGG